rnacentral:rRNA from 1 species
AACGAACGCUGGCGGCAGGCUUAACACAUGCAAGUCGAACGCAUGCCUUCGGGCAUGAGUGGCAGACGGGUGAGUAACGCGUGGGAACCUACCCCUUGGUACGGGAUAGCUCCGGGAAACUGGAGAUAAUACCGUAUGUGUCCUGAGGGACAAAGAUUCAUCGCCAAGGGAUGGGCCCGCGUCGGAUUAGCUAGUUGGUGGGGUAACGGCCUACCAAGGCGACGAUCCGUAGCUGGUCUAAGAGGAUGAUCAGCCACAUUGGGACUGAGACACGGCCCAAACUCCUACGGGAGGCAGCAGUGGGGAAUAUUGGACAAUGGGCGAAAGCCUGAUCCAGCCAUGCCGCGUGAGUGAUGAAGGCCCUAGGGUUGUAAAGCUCUUUCACCGGUGACGAUAAUGACGGUAACCGGAGAAGAAGCCCCGGCUAACUUCGUG